UACAAAUUAGUGGUAUUAAAGUAUAAAUGUUACUAGAGAGGACUUACUAAUAGUUAGUAAAUUAUAAGAGGACUUAUGUGCAAAUGUUGCAUUAUUAAUUUGAUAAGAUCAAAUUAAUAUAAAAUUCAAGUCGAAUCAAAUUAGGAUUUGAUCGAUCUAACUAAUUAAGGAAAAGAUAAAUUUAAAUCUAGAUUUAUACUUAUCCUUAAUUGACAUUAUAUUAUUAGGAAUAGGAUUAAUAUAUUCCUAUAUAUAAUAUACGGGAGUUUUUAGAAAACCCAUGCCGUCAUCUAUCCUCUCUUCUCUCUUCCAUCUUCUAGCAAGAAAGACGUCCUUUUGCAAGGGAGCUAGCACCCCGGUGAGGACAUCGAUCAAAUCAAGAACCUCGUGUGGAUACCUAUAGAGGCCGGACGCGUGUGCGGCUUCAAGAGAACCCGAUUCCACGAUCAUCAAAUUGAGGCAAGAAUUUAUCCGUGAAAAAGGUAAAGAUUCGAUCUUACUUUUCUCCUUUAAUCUUAAAGAACAUGAGGGAUCCUAAUUGCGUGGUUUUGAGAUUAGAUCUCGAGAGUUUUCAAAAUCAAAUUUGUUUGAUUUCUUUUUCCGCUGCGUUUUACCGUACGCAAUUUUCUAACAGUGGUAUCAGAGCCAUCCUCAUGUUUUUAAGAUUGAAAUUAUGAUUUUUGGGUAUUCUAAACCGUUUUUUGCCGAGAAAACGAUUUAUAGAUCGUUUUUGGAAAAUUCGAAAAGAUCAAAGUGAUUAACAAUAUAAUCGAUGGUUUCUUUUUUCAAAAAAAAAAAAAAAAGGUUACUGUAGCGAUUUUACUAUAGCAUCCCUUACGGAUGCUACUGUAGCAUCCGUACGGACGGAAUUUUUUUUAAUUUUUAAUUUUUUUUUUAAAAAAAGGGUUGAUUAGAUUGAAAAUAAAAUAUAAUGAAAAAGAUCUAAUUUGAUUAGAUCAAAUUUAUUUCUUGAUGAGAUUAAGAUGUUUUUUUUUUUUGUAGAUUAAAUUGUUGAUCAAAAUUAUAAUAAUCAAUAAGAUUGAUUAUUUUUAAUAAUUUAUUCUUUCGAAUCAUCGGUUAACGGUUAAUUAGAAUAUCCAAAAUUUAUUAUUAUGCAUGUGAUGUAUGAGAUACGGUGAUGAUCAUGGAUAGCAACCUAUUUAUUUUUGUUUCGACAUGUGAUGUAUGAUGUGUAUGCAGAAUCCUGUAAUUUUAAAUUUGUUUAAAUUAAGGACUUUGUAUUAGAGAUGGCUAUUUUUGUGCCUGCGUGCACAAGCCGAUUUAUUUGGAUACCUGUGUGUCUCAAUAGGUUAGAGAUAAAAGUUAUCAAAUGUAAUUAAUUUUUAUUUCAUUUUUAUUAUUGGGUUGUAUAAUGUAUGGUUGCACGUCAUUGGUUAAUCGGUUGCAAGCCUAAAAGUUCGC
rnacentral:lncRNA from 1 species